CGGGCAGGCCUUUGGCUGGCUCCGGGCGAGGCUGGGCACCCCAGAUGAGAUCGCCGGCGGGCACUCCACGCGCCAAUGUGUGCCGCACUUGCUUGCGGGAGAGCGAGGCUGCCCAGCGAGGUGCACCGACGCUGGGCCCGUAGGGACCCAUCUGACAAUGCCCUGUCCCCUGGGAAGCCUGUGCCAGCCUGCAGGGGCCACAGCAAAAUAGAACCGGGAACAUGUGCUGCUUGGGAAGCACACUCGGGCACCUGGCGUAUCUCAGUGAUGAUCACACCCUCCAGGGACCUUCCUGCUUCCACAGAAGGUCCGGAAUCUGGGAGCAGCUGGCUUAGCCGGGUGGUUCUGGCUCAGGGUCUUUCGAUCAAGCUGUGGUCCAGGGCUUCGGUCAGCUCCAAGCUCACCCAGGGAAGGGAAGCCCUCCACCUUCAAGCUCACUCGUGUGCCUCAGUUCCUUGCCGCGUGGGCCUCUCCACAGGGCCGCCUGGUGAUAUGGCCCCUGGCUUCCCCCAGCGAGAGCGAAAGUGGGUACCGCGGUCCUCUUAUUAUCUGACUGCGGAGGUGAUCCCGUUCAAAGGGAAGGGAUGACUCAGGGGCAUGGGUGACGGAAGGCACGGGUCAUUUGGCAUCACCUCAGAGGCUGCUUGCCUCGCAUACGAUAGGUUCAUUAUUGUUCCUUUUAUAUAAAUUAAUAAAUAGUCUAAACUUC